rnacentral:rRNA from 1 species
GAUAGUGGCGGACGGGUGAGUAACACGUGGAUAACCUGCCUUAUACAAAGGGAUAACAACCAGAAAUGGUUGCUAAAACCUUAUAAGCUCACGGAUUGGCAUCAAUUAGUGAGAAAAUAUUAAUAGGUAUAAGAGGGGUCCGCGUCUGAUUAGCUAGUUGGAGGGGUAACGGCCCACCAAGGCGACGAUCAGUAGCCGGCCUGAGAGGGUGAACGGCCACAUUGGGACUGAGACACGGCCCAAACUCCUACGGGAGGCAGCAGUGGGGAAUAUUGCGCAAUGGGGGAAACCCUGACGCAGCAACGCCGCGUGAAGGAAGAAGGCUUUCGGGUUGUAAACUUCUAUCGACGGGGAAGAAAAAAAUGACGGUACCCGAGUAAGAAGCACCGGCUAAAUACGUGCCAGCAGCCGCGGUAAUACGUAUGGUGCAAGCGUUAUCCGGAAUUACUGGGCGUAAAGGGUGAGUAGGCGGUUAAUUAAGUCAUAUGUGAAAAUCCAGGGCUCAACCCUGGACGUGCAUAAGAAACUGAUAGACUGGAGUGCAGGAGAGGUAAGCGGAAUUCCUAGUGUAGCGGUGAAAUGCGUAGAUAUUAGGAAGAACACCAGUGGCGAAGGCGGCUUACUGGACUGUAACUGACGCUGAGUCACGAAAGCGUGGGGAGCGAACAGGAUUAGAUACCCUGGUAGUCCACGCCGU